rnacentral:lncRNA from 1 species
UGCUCCUUAGUGAAGAAGAAAGCGUGGUCAAGGAUAGCUUACCGUCACCUGCUGUCCCUGUCCCCCAACCAUUUUCUUUGUGAUGCGUGGCUUCAACGCCAUUUUCCAGUAGAUCAGAGUUAUUUAGGUACGCGACGGAUGACACAUGGUAAUAUAUUGAUUUGUGAGCCUGGGACUAAUCACAAAUCGUGUCUAUUUCAAACAGGUU